rnacentral:lncRNA from 1 species
GACGCUACCGCGCCUGCGCGAAGCUCCGAGCGCCCUCUCCCGCCCUUCGGGGAGGCGCGUGCGGGACGCACGGCGCAGGCGCGGCCCCUCCUCCCUCCGCCCCCUCCGCCCCCUCCCCCCUCCAUCUCCUUCCCUCCCGGCCGCUUCCGCGUUGUCGGCGGAGCGAUCCGGGAGGCUGGUGAUGCGGUCCAGUCGGUCGAGCUGUCACUGAGGAAAUGCUUUAUCACAUUCAGAUGCCAGUCUGGGUGAAGCAAGACCAAAUUGCAGAACUAAGAUUGUCUGCUGGGCUUUGAAGGUAAAAUAUCUAAACCACUGGAACCUACCCUGACUCUGGAAGACGGGCUGGAGGGAGACGGAGAGGAAGGGAGGAGGAUCAAACGGGAGAGGAAGGGAAAAGGAGCAAAAGAGGGAGGGAGACGGGGAAGAAGAGAUAGACAGGGAAUAGACACACCCUGUUGCUUCCGUCUCUCGACUUGGAAAAGAAUUCUUGUUAUUGCUUGGCUUUUUCUUCUAGCUGGAAACUCUAGGGAAGCCGCAGACGUCCGUUUCCGGGGGAAAAUCUUCAGCCACCUCGGUGUUCCCUGCCCCCUCCCCUCCGUUGAAAUCCAUGCAAAAUAGAUCAGAUAUGGGGAGCAGCCAGCCCCUGUCCAUCGCCGAUGGCGGCAAGAGGAAGAAGAAGAAACGUCGAACCCGGCCCGCUGACACCUUUCCCGGAAAGUUUGAAGGUUGGUCAAGCCCCCGGCCAGGAGGAGCCCGAGAAGCCAGUCCCGUCUCGUGGGUGAGAGGAUCCAUGCCGUGGGCGAGAGGGUGUCGGGGAUGGGCAGUUAGAGCCUUCCACAAACUAGUCGAGCAUAGCAUUCUUUCAGUUGUAUUUACUGAACACUUGUCGUGUGCUGAGCACUGUAUUAAGCGCUUGGGAAAGGCAAUAGAAUAAUAAGCAGACAAAUUCCCUAGUCACAACGAGCUUACGGUCAAGAUGCCGCAAAACGGCUUGGCUCAUCUUGGGAGAAUCGCUUGGGGCGGCCAGUUAGGGGAGCUGGCUUCUAGUCCCUUCAGCUUGCUGGGUCACCCUGGGCCAGGGAGGUCUUCUGUGGGCCUCAGUUUCCCCAUUUUUCAGUCUGUCAGAACAUUCAUUCAAUAGUAUUUAUUGAGCGCUUACUAUGUGCAGAGCACUGUACUAAGCUCUUGGAAUAUACAAAUCGUCAAUAGAUAGAGACAGUCCCUGCCCUUUGACAGGCUUACAGUCUAAUCGGGGGAGACGGGCAGACAAGAACAAUGGCAAUAAAUAGAGUCAAGGGGAAGAACAUCUCAUAAAAACAAUGGCAAAUAAAUAGAAUCAGAGUGAUGUACAUCUCAUUAAACAAAAUAAAUACGGUGAUGUAGAUAUGUAGAGUUGAGCGGACGAGUACA